AGAGUUUGAUCCUGGCUCAGAAUGAACGCUGGCGGCGUGCUUAACACAUGCAAGUCGAACGAUGAACCUAGCUUGCUAGGGGAUUAGUGGCGCACGGGUGAGUAAUAUAUAGAUAAUGUACCUCUUAGUCUGGGAUAGCCAUUGGAAACGAUGAUUAAUACUAGAUACUCCUUCUAACUCUAAUGUUAGUCGGGAAAGUUUUUCGCUAAGAGAUCAGUCUAUAUCCCAUCAGUUAGUUGGUAGGGUAAUGGCCUACCAAGGCAAUGACGGGUAGCGGGUUUGAGAGGAUGAUCCGCCACACUGGUACUGAGACACGGACCAGACUCCUACGGGAGGCAGCAGUGAGGAAUAUUGCACAAUGGAGGAAACUCUGAUGCAGCAACGCCGCGUGGAGGAUGACGCAUUUCGGUGUGUAAACUCCUUUUAUAUGUCAAGAAAAUGACGGUAGCAUAUGAAUAAGCACCGGCUAACUCCGUGCCAGCAGCCGCGGUAAUACGGAGGGUGCAAGCGUUAUUCGGAAUCACUGGGCGUAAAGGACGCGUAGGCUGGUUAUCAAGUCAGAUGUGAAAUCCUAUGGCUCAA
rnacentral:rRNA from 1 species